rnacentral:rRNA from 1 species
UACGUAGGUGGCAAGCGUUAUCCGGAAUUAUUGGGCGUAAAGAGCGCGCAGGUGGUUGAUUAAGUCUGAUGUGAAAGCCCACGGCUUAACCGUGGAGGGUCAUUGGAAACUGGUCGACUUGAGUGCAGAAGAGAGAAGUGGAAUUCCAUGUGUAGCGGUGAAAUGCGUAGAGAUAUGGAGGAACACCAGUGGCGAAGGCGGCUUCCUGGUCUGUAACUGACACUGAGGCGCGAAAGCGUGGGGAGCAAACAGGAUUAGA